CCGACGGUGAGGGGUGAAAGCUGGGGGAGCAAACCGGAUUAGAUACCCGGGUAGUCCCAGCUGUAAACGAUGCAAACUCGAUGAUGCGUUGGCUUAUUGCUAGCGCAGUGUCGCAGGGAAGCCGUUAAGUUUGCCGCCUGGGAAGUACGUACGCAAGUAUGAAACUUAAAGGAAUUGGCGGGGGAGCACCACAAGGGGUGAAGCCUGCGGUUCAAUUGGAGUCAACGCCUGAAACCUUACCCGGAGAGACAGCAGAAUGAAGGUCAAGCUGAAGACUUUACCAGACAAGCUGAGAGGUGGUGCAUGGCCGUCGCCAGCUCGUGCCGUGAGAUGUCCUGUUAAGUCAGGUAACGAGCGAGAUCCCUGCCUCUAGUUGCCACUAUUACACCCUGGUGUAGUAGGGCGAAUUAGGGGGACCGCCGCAGUUAAUGCGGAGGAAGGAAGGGGCCACGGCAGGUCAGUAUGCCCCGAAACUCUGGGGCCACACGCGGGCUGCAAUGGUAGCGACAAUGAGUUCCAAAAUCGAAAGAUGGAGGUAAUCCCUAAACGCUACCACAGUUGUGAUUGAGGGCUGCAACUCGCCCUCAUGAACAUGGAAUCCCUAGUAACCGCGUGUCAUUAUCGCGCAGUGAAUACGUCCCUGCUCCUUGCACUCACCGCCCGU
rnacentral:rRNA from 1 species